GACGAACGCUGGCGGCGUGCCUAAUACAUGCAAGUAGAACGCUGAAACUUGGUGCUUGCACCGAGCGGAUGAGUUGCGAACGGGUGAGUAACGCGUAGGUAACCUGCCUGGUAGCGGGGGAUAACUAUUGGAAACGAUAGCUAAUACCGCAUAAGAGUAGAUGUUGCAUGACAUUUGCUUAAAAGGUGCAAUUGCACCACUACCAGAUGGACCUGCGUUGUAUUAGCUAGUUGGUGGGGUAACGGCUCACCAAGGCGACGAUACAUAGCCGACCUGAGAGGGUGAUCGGCCACACUGGGACUGAGACACGGCCCAGACUCCUACGGGAGGCAGCAGUAGGGAAUCUUCGGCAAUGGACGGAAGUCUGAUCGAGCAACGCCGCGUGAGUGAAGAAGGUUUUCGGAUCGUAAAGCUCUGUUGUAAGAGAAGAACGAGUGUGAGAGUGGAAAGUUCACACUGUGACGGUAUCUUACCAGAAAGGGACGGCUAACUACGUG
rnacentral:rRNA from 1 species